GAUGAACGUUGGCGGCGUGCCUAACACAUGCAAGUCGAACGGCGAUAGCAAUAUCGGAGUGGCGCACGGGUGAGUAACACGUAGCUUACCUGGCUCAAAGCGCGGGAUAACGUUCCGAAAGGGAUGCUAAUACCGCAUAAGCUCACGGACUAUAGGGGUUGGUGAGAAAAGAGGCAACUCACUUUGAGAUGGGGCUGCGACCCAUCAGCUAGUUGGUGAGGUAAAGGCUUACCAAGGCAACGACGGGUAGGGACCUGAGAGGGUCGACCCCCCACAC
rnacentral:rRNA from 1 species